CUUUUAUCUUAUGGGAUCACAUGGCAGUUAUUUUGAACAGUUAAUGGUUUUCAGAUGGGCAACUAGAUCUUUGAAAAUGCAAUUUUCUGUAUAACCAUGGUAAUAAAAAAACCAGCAUAGCAACUGAAGAAGGGAAGCCAAAAGUUGACAAGAUGGUUUGAUGGGAUUCAUUUUUAAUGGUAUCUGUUGACCUGAAAACAAAAUGCCCUGCGCUUUCUGAGCUGUUCACCAACUCUGUUGACCUGCUGAGAGGACCAAAAGCUGCAGAAGAAUGACUGACAAGGGAGAGCCUUCUCCGCCUAUAGAAUAGUCUGCCCUAACGGCACCGAGUGAGAAUUAGAGGCCAUUUCAGGAGAUUUACUUGCUGUCCCCUUCUUUUUCAGCGGCUCGGUGCUUCAGAAAAGAUUUGAAAGGUGUAAGGCUCUCAUUAGGGAGGCUACAACAUGCUUCUCCAGGGCUGAGUUUACACAGGCAGAAAAUAAACUUGUUGGAAGCUCAGUAUCUGACAUGGCUCAGAGAAUCCAGCCAGGAAGGCAGCAUUUCUGGAGCUGAAACCUGAAUUAAAGAGCAAUCCCAUCAGAAAAGAGUGUUAAGUCACUGCCUUUGCUUCGGAAGUAUUGGCUCUCGUUCAAGCCUCUAGUUUAGCCCUGAAUGCAUCAGCAUAAAUGAUUGUAUAAACAGGACUGUGUUAACACUUGCCAAUGAGGAUUCUGCCAAAUGUUAAUUUGAAGCCUCAGUGAAGACGCCUACUGCUGAUGCCUCUUACCGCAGACCAGAGGACUUUGUAGAACUCACUGCUGCUCGAUGUGAUCUCAGAUCUUCAUUUCCAAAUUUUGGAAGGAUUCCUUACACUCAUUAAAAUUCAUUCUUCCUCGCAGCAUCCAGAAACUAACAGAGAAUCUGAGAAGGAUAACCAACUGUUGCCGCAAUAUUUGAAAUGCAAGGCAAUUGGACUGAUCUCGUAUCUCUUGCUGAAUUUGCCUACAACAGUGCAGCAUACGUCUCUGUCUGUAGGUCCCUAUUUCAGACAAGAAUGAAAUAAAAUUACAGAAGGGAA